rnacentral:rRNA from 1 species
UGGGGAAUUUUGGACAAUGGGCGAAAGCCUGAUCCAGCCAUGCCGCGUGAGUGAAGAAGGCCUUCGGGUUGUAAAGCUCUUUUAGUCGGAAAGAAAGAGUUGCAAUGAAUAAUUGUGAUUUAUGACGGUACCGACAGAAAAAGCACCGGCUAACUACGUGCCAGCAGCCGCGGUAAUACGUAGGGUGCGAGCGUUAAUCGGAAUUACUGGGCGUAAAGGGUGCGCAGGCGGUCUUGCAAGUCAGAUGUGAAAGCCCCGGGCUUAACCUGGGCAUUGAGUUUGAAACUACAAGGCUAGAGUGCAGCAGAGGGGAGUGGAAUUCCAUGUGUAGCAGUGAAAUGCGUAGAGAUGUGGAAGAACACCGAUGGCGAAGGCAGCUCCCUGGGUUGACACUGACGCUCAUGCACGAAAGCGUGGGGAGCAAACA